ACCGUAUAACAAUCGAAACCGCAUGGUUUUGAUUUGAAAGGCGCUUUCGGGUGUCGCUGAUGGAUGGACCCGCGGUGCAUUAGCUAGUUGGUGAGGUAACGGCUCACCAAGGCCACGAUGCAUAGCCGACCUGAGAGGGUGAUCGGCCACAUUGGGACUGAGACACGGCCCAAACUCCUACGGGAGGCAGCAGUAGGGAAUCUUCGGCAAUGGACGAAAGUCUGACCGAGCAACGCCGCGUGAGUGAAGAAGGUUUUCGGAUCGUAAAACUCUGUUGUUAGAGAAGAAUAAGGAUGAGAGUAACUGUUCAUCCCUUGACGGUAUCUAACCAGAAAGCCACGGCUAACUACGUGCCAGCAGCCGCGGUAAUACGUAGGUGGCAAGCGUUGUCCGGAUUUAUUGGGCGUAAAGCGAGCGCAGGCGGUUUCUUAAGUCUGAUG
rnacentral:rRNA from 1 species